rnacentral:rRNA from 2 species
UGGGGAAUUUUGGACAAUGGGCGAAAGCCUGAUCCAGCCAUUCCGCGUGCAGGAUGAAGGCCCUCGGGUUGUAAACUGCUUUUGUACAGAACGAAAAAGCUCUGGCUAAUACCUGGAGUCCAUGACGGUACUGUAAGAAUAAGCACCGGCUAACUACGUGCCAGCAGCCGCGGUAAUACGUAGGGUGCAAGCGUUAAUCGGAAUUACUGGGCGUAAAGCGUGCGCAGGCGGUUUUGUAAGACAGAGGUGAAAUCCCCGGGCUCAACCUGGGAACUGCCUUUGUGACUGCAAGGCUGGAGUGCGGCAGAGGGGGAUGGAAUUCCGCGUGUAGCAGUGAAAUGCGUAGAUAUGCGGAGGAACACCGAUGGCGAAGGCAAUCCCCUGGGCCUGCACUGACGCUCAUGCACGAAAGCGUGGGGAGCAAACAGG